rnacentral:rRNA from 1 species
CAGCAGCCGCGGGAACACGUAGGUGGCAAGCGUUGUCCGGAAUUAUUGGGCGUAAAGGGCUCGCAGGCGGUUUCUUAAGUCUGAUGUGAAAGCCCCCGGCUCAACCGGGGAGGGUCAUUGGAAACUGGGAAACUUGAGUGCAGAAGAGGAGAGUGGAAUUCCACGUGUAGCGGUGAAAUGCGUAGAGAUGUGGAGGAACACCAGUGGCGAAGGCGACUCUCUGGUCUGUAACUGACGCUGAGGAGCGAAAGCGUGGGGAGCGAACAGGAUUAGAUACCCCAGUAGUCCCUGUCUCUUAUAU